rnacentral:rRNA from 1 species
AUUGAACGCUGGCGGCAUGCCUUACACAUGCAAGUCGAACGGCAGCGCGGACUUCGGUCUGGCGGCGAGUGGCGAACGGGUGAGUAAUACAUCGGAACGUACCCUGUUGUGGGGGAUAACUAGUCGAGAGAUUAGCUAAUACCGCAUACGACCUGAGGGUGAAAGUGGGGGACCGCAAGGCCUCACGCAGCAGGAGCGGCCGAUGUCUGAUUAGCUAGUUGGUGGGGUAAAGGCCCACCAAGGCGACGAUCAGUAGCUAGUCUGAGAGGACGAUCAGCCACACUGGGACUGAGACACGGCCCAGACUCCUACGGGAGGCAGCAGUGGGGAAUUUUGGACAAUGGGGGCAACCCUGAUCCAGCAAUGCCGCGUGUGUGAAGAAGGCCUUCGGGUUGUAAAGCACUUUUGUCCGGAAAGAAAUCGCGCUGGUUAAUACCUGGCGUGGAUGACGGUACCGGAAGAAUAAGCACCGGCUAACUACGUG